GGCACAUUGACACAGUAUUCUAAUCGCGUGUUGGUCAGUGUUUAUAGAUAGAAUGGGGCGCGUUGGCACAGUAUUCUAAUCGCGUGUUGGUCAGUGUUUAUAGAUAGAAUGGGGCACGUUGGCACAGUAUUCUAAUCGCGUGUUGGUCAGUGUUUAUAGAUAGAAUGGGGCACAUUGACACAGUAUUCUAAUCGCGUGUUGGUCAGUGUUUAUAGGUAGAAUGGGGCGCGUUGGCACAGUAUUCUAAUCGCGUGUUGGUCAGUGUUUAUAGAUAGAAUGGGGCACGUUGGCACAGUAUUCUAAUCGGGUGUUGG